rnacentral:rRNA from 1 species
AUUGAACGCUGGCGGCAGGCCUAACACAUGCAAGUCGAGCGGAGCGGCGGACGGGUGAGUAAUGCCUAGGAAUCUGCCUGGUAGUGGGGGAUAACGUCCGGAAACGGGCGCUAAUACCGCAUACUAUCAGAUGAGGCUCGGUCGGAGUAGCUAGUUGGUGGGGUAAAGGCCUACCAAGGCGACGAUCCGUAAGUGGACUGAGAGGAUGAUCAGUCACACUGGAACUGAGAACGGGUCAAGAAUCCUACGGGAGGCAGCAGGGGGGAAUGUUGGACAAUGGGAGAAAGCCGGAUCCAGCCAUGCCGCGUGUGUGAAGAAGGUCUUCGGAUUGUAAAGCACGUUAAGUUGGGAGGCGUUACCUACAGAAGAAGCACCGGCUAACGCCGUGCCAGCAGCCGCGGUAAUUC